GAUGAAGAACGCAGCGAAAUGCGAUAAGUAAUGCGAAUUGCAGAAUUUCCGUGAGUCAUCGAAUCUUUGAACGCACAUUGCACCUCUCGGUAUUCCGGGAGGUAUGCCUGUUCGAGCGUCAUUUGUACCCUCAAGCUCUGCUUGGUGUUGGGUGUUUGUUCCGCCUCUGUGUGUGAACUCGCCUCAAAACAAUUGGCAGCCGGCGUACUUGUUUCGGAGCGCAGCACAUUUUGCGAUCCAGAUCAACGUACAGCGGCAUCCAAGAAGCCUUAUUUAACGCUCUUGACCUCGGAUCAGGUAGGGAUACCCGCUGAACUUAAGCAUAUCAAUAAGCGGAGA
rnacentral:misc_RNA from 1 species